UUUUUUUUUUUUUUUUUUUUUACAAAGUGAUCUGAUCUAUAAUUUAGUAAUACGGUCCAGAGUCCCUAAGAUCUGUUUGUUCUUCAGUUUGUGUACUGCCAGCAUUUCUGUAACACUGCCACUCAAGCCUCCAAGUCUCAGACAGCAGUGCCCUCUAGCAGUCUUUCAUUUGGAGAUUGUGUGGUGAUUGAGAUUACCCACUGGUGACCUCUCUAGGUCCUCUUGAGAUAUUUUAUUUUAAUUUAAUUUUUACUUCUCUUACUGAACAAGCAAAGGGAUUUUUAAUGUUUGUUGGGUGUCAGGCUUUGACUUUGAGGGAUCUAUUAAAGCUGUUUACCUAUGCUAAAGCAUCAUAAACUAAGGAAGUGGCCAGGUAAUUGUCCGUACCAUAUUGUAUAUUCUUGCAAACUCUGUUUUGACCUACUAGUCACUGUUUCAUCAGUUUUCAUCUAUUAAAAGAAACUGGGCCAGGCAUGGUGGCUCACGCCUGUAAUCCCAGCACUUUGGGAAGCCAAGGCGGGCAGAUCACGAGGUCAGGAGAUCAAGACCAUCCUGGCUAACACAGUGAAACCCCGUCUCUACUAAAAAUACAAAAAAUCAGCUGGGUGUGGUGGCGGGCGCCUGUAGUCCCAGCUACUCGGGAGGCUGAGGCAGGAGAACAGCAUGAACCCGGGGGGCGGAGCUUGCAGUGAGCCGAAAUUGUGCCACUGCACUCCAGCCUGGGUGAUAGAGCGGGACUCCGUCUCAAAAAAAAAAAAAAAAAAAA
rnacentral:lncRNA from 1 species